rnacentral:misc_RNA from 1 species
CAGGACUCGCAAGACUCCUACAACCCUGUGAACUUAACUAUAAGCACGUUGCUUCGGCGGGUGUCUCGGCGGAGGGUCCCCACUGGGACCUGCGCAGGGGCGCGAAGCCCGCCGGCAGCCUACUAUACUCUGUCUCUCUGCGUUGGCAUCUCGAGUAAAAGCAAACAAGUUA